UACGGAGGGUGCAAGCGUUAUCCGGAUUCAUUGGGCGUAAAGAGCUCGUAGGCGGUUUGGUAAGUCUGGUGUGAAAUCUCCACGCUCAACGUGGAGGGGCCACCCGAUACUGCCAUGACUGGAGUCCGGUAGAGGAGUGUGGAAUUCCCGGUGUAGCGGUGAAAUGCGCAGAUAUCGGGAGGAACACCCGUAGCGAAGGCGGCACUCUGGGCCGGUACUGACGCUGAGGAGCGAAAGCGUGGGGAGCAAACAGG
rnacentral:rRNA from 1 species